rnacentral:rRNA from 1 species
ACGAACGCUGGCGGCGUGCCUAACACAUGCAAGUCGUACGCUUGUAAAAGCGUGGCGAACGGGUGAGUAAUAGCAAGGAACGUGCCUUUUUCCGGGAAAUACCCAGCCGAAAGGUUGGCUAAUGUCCCAUAGUCUCGCAAGAGUAAAGCUCCGGCGGAAAAAGAUCGGCCUUGUUCCUAUCAGCUAGUUGGUGAGGUAAUGGCUUACCAAGGCUUUGACGGGUAGCUGGUCUGAGAGGAUGAUCAGCCACAUGGGGACUGAGACACGGCCCUAACACCUACGGGUGGCAGCAGUUGGGAAUAUUGCACAAUGGGCGACAGCCUGAUGCAGCGACGCCGCGUGAAGGAUGAAGGCCUUCGGGUUGUAAACUUCUUUUUUGUGGGACGAUUGUGACGGUACCACACGAAUAAGGACCUGCUAACUACGU